rnacentral:rRNA from 1 species
ACGAACGCUGGCGGCGUGCUUCACACAUGCAAGUCGAACGGAAAGGCCCUGCUUUUGUGGGGUGCUCGAGUGGCGAACGGGUGAGUAACACGUGAGUAACCUGCCCUUGACUUUGGGAUAACUUCAGGAAACUGGGGCUAAUACCGGAUAGAAGCUCCUGCUGCAUGGUGGGGGUUGGAAAGUUUCGGCGGUUGGGGAUGGACUCGCGGCUUAUCAGCUUGUUGGUGGGGUAGUGGCUUACCAAGGCUUUGACGGGUAGCCGGCCUGAGAGGGUGACCGGCCACAUUGGGACUGAGAUACGGCCCAGACUCCUACGGGAGGCAGCAGUGGGGAAUAUUGCACAAUGGGCGGAAGCCUGAUGCAGCAACGCCGCGUGCGGGAUGACGGCCUUCGGGUUGUAAACCGCUUUCGCCUGUGACGAAGCGUGAGUGACGGUAAUGGGUAAAGAAGCACCGGCUAACUACGUG